rnacentral:rRNA from 1 species
UAAUGGCCCACCAAGCCGAGGAUGGGUACGGGCCCUGAGAGGGGGAGCCCGGAGAUGGGAACUGAGACAAGGCCCCAGCCCCUACGGGGCGCAGCAGGUGCGAAAAUUCCGCAAUGCGUGAAAGCGCGACGGAGUGACUCCCAGUGCCGAUGGUCUAACGACCGUCGGCUUUUCUGGAGUCUAAAACCCUCCAGGUAAUAAGGGCCGGGCAAGACUGGUGCCAGCCGCCGCGGUAACACCAGCGGCCCAAGUGGUAGCCGUUUUUAUUGGGCCUAAAGGGUCCGUAGCCGGGUUGACAAGUCCCUUGUGAAAUCGGGUGGCUUAACCACUCGAAUUGCAAGGGAAACUGUCUGCCUUGGGAUCGGCAGGCGUCUAGGGUACUCUAGGGGUAGCGGUGAAAUGCUAUAAUCCCUGGGGGACCGCCAGUGGCGAAGGCGCUAGGCGAGGCCGAAUCCGACGGUGAGGGACGAAGGCCAGGGGAGCAAACCGGAUUAGAUACCCGGGUAGUCCUGGCUGCAAAGGAUGUGGGCUAGGUGCUUGACGUUCCUCGAGAUCGUUAGGUGCCGAAGGGAAGCCGUUAAGUCCACCGCCUGGGAAGAACGGCCGCAAGGCUUA